rnacentral:misc_RNA from 1 species
UAAACUCCUGCUUUUGCU